CCUACGGGUGGCUGCAGUGGGGAAUAUUGGACAAUGGGGGGAACCCUGAUCCAGCCAUGCCGCGUGUGUGAAGACGGCCCUCGGGUUGUAAAGCACUUUCAGUGAGGAAGAACGCCUGGUGGUUAAUACCCAUCAGGAAAGACAUCACUCACAGAAGAAGCACCGGCUAACUCCGUGCCAGCAGCCGCGGUAAUACGGAGGGUGCGAGCGUUAAUCGGAAUUACUGGGCGUAAAGCGCGCGUAGGUGGCUUGAUAAGCCGGUUGUGAAAGCCCCGGGCUCAACCUGGGAACGGCAUCCGGAACUGUCAAGCUAGAGUGCAGGAGAGGAAGGUAGAAUUCCCGGUGUAGCGGUGAAAUGCGUAGAGAUCGGGAGGAAUACCAGUGGCGAAGGCGGCCUUCUGGACUGACACUGACACUGAGGUGCGAAAGCGUGGGUAGCAAACAGGAUUAGAUACCCUGGUAGUC
rnacentral:rRNA from 1 species